GCACCAUGAUGAUGAUGUCGAACGCCUGCUUCCCCGCCAGGUCGAAGAAGAAGCCCUGCAGCGAGUUCUGGAGACAGAAACAGUUAUCGAUGAUGACACCGAUGAACAGAUUGAGUGUGAAGAAGGAGCCGAAGAUGAUGAAGAUGACGAAGUACAGCUCGUGAAUCCACUGCAGCGUACAUGAUGUCCAUCCAGCCUUUGAAGGUUGCCUUGGAAACAAAAAAGAAAGAAAACAAAUGAUUAAAU